rnacentral:lncRNA from 1 species
AAAAAGCAUCAGAUUACAGAUCAUAAAACGUUUUACUGUCACAGCUUUGUACCCAGCUCUACAUGCAACAGUGUGCCAGUGUCAAACACACUCAGCUGGCCUCAUGCUGUCUGUCCAUGCGCUUCCCUUCUGUUUAUGCCUUCUCCCUCACACAUUUAGAAGAUCACACAAUCGCGUCGGCUGCAGCUGAACUUUUGCACCGCAGCACGGUGCGGGUUCUGCCCCUGCAAAUCCGGUUGCUAGACAAUCUAAGCCAAUUACAGUAUGAGGGCAAAUGGUUAACCUCUGUAAUAUACAUUUCCCAGCCCCCUUCUCCGAGUUCGCUUGUCAUCCCAGGAGCAGAGUUAUGCACCAGGGCCCAGUGUCCCAGGCGACCCAGUUUGAAUUGGCUCAAUUCAUUAAGCCGGGACUCGUGCACAAGCCCGUGUUCACACGGCGAAGACACUUGCAGCAAACAGCUGCUGCACAUUCCUGAUGGGAGGGCCAGGCAGAUGUCCAAGGAAAAUCAAAGAGAGAGACAGGGGAAAGUUUAUGAGCUGGCGUUUGCCAACCUCAAUGAGAAGCUCUGCAUCCCCUCCUCAAAGACAGGGUGCAGCUGGCGGAACUCGCGGCCCUGUCCUGUCUGGAUCUCCCCUGGUCCUCGUUCUCCCACUCACAAGACUGCAACAACUCAACAUGCUGACAAUAUCAGUUGUCUCCUCAGUGCUCUCUGUUUGAACCAAAACCACUUUGGCACCAGCAGAGGUGGUCUGGCCGAGGGGUUGGGGUAAUCAUUAAAUUUUAUUCCUCCAACAUAACUAAACCAGUGCACUGUUCAACAAGUGUGAGAAUGUGCAGCUUAAACCGAGAAGAAGAACAAAUUCACAGCAUAUAGUUUUUAGCAAAUUUGAAUAAAUCUGCUAAGAAAUUAUAAGCAAGUAACUGUAUUUUUUUAUUUAAAAGGUUUGGUUUAAAGAUAUUAGCAGGAUUUAAAUCUGCAGAGUUGUGCCUGCGUAAAUUACAGGUAC